rnacentral:misc_RNA from 1 species
AAUAAGUUUAAAACAAGUGAAAACAAAUUAAGAUAACGUUCAAAUAGAAAAAUUAAAUCAAAUUUAUUUGAUUUGAUUUAAUUUUUUUUUAAUUUGAUUUAAUUUGAGAAAAUUUUAAUUUAUUGGUUCGAUUUGACUUUCUUUCUAAUUAUGUGAUUCAGUUUGAUAUGCUAAAAUUUUGGAUUCAUACCGAACGGAAUCAAACCGACCGAUGCUCA